rnacentral:rRNA from 1 species
AUACGGAGGGGGUUAGCGUUGUUCGGAAUUACUGGGCGUAAAGCGCACGUAGGCGGAUUGAAAGUUGGGGGUGAAAUCCCAGGGCUCAACCCUGGAACUGCCUCCAAAACUAACAGUCUAGAGUUCGAGAGAGGUGAGUGGAAUUCCAAGUGUAGAGGUGAAAUUCGUAGAUAUUUGGAGGAACACCAGUGGCGAAGGCGGCUCACUGGCUCGAUACUGACGCUGAGGUGCGAAAGCGUGGGGAGCAAACAGGAUUAGAAACCCUAGUAGUCC